UUGGGAGUCAACAUCCAAGGAUAUACCUUGUAUUGAAACGGCAGACAGGUGUGGAAGAAGCAAUUCAACCCGUCGCAUCUGUUGCAACUCUCAAAGCAAUCCCAUCAGAAUCAAAAUCUGGUUUAAUAUUACCAGUAUACGUUUGCAGAUGAUACCGUUGGAGGAGGCCGCAUCUCUGAUGAGUCAUUGUACAGAAGGGAGAUAGUGACAUGGUGAUAUGACAACCUUUCCCUCAACAUCAACAAAACGAAAGAGCUGGUCAUUGUCUUCAGAAAGGGAGGUGCUGCAUAUGUUCCUGUCUACAUGAACAGGAUAUGUCCCUGAGUGUAAACACCAUCGGUGGACUGACUUGAACCAACUAUGUUGGUAUCACGGCCACGUAAGCUCACCAACACCCUUACACUCUCAGGAGGCUAAAAAAAAAAUCCUGCAUGUCCCCAGCAAUUCUUGCCAAUUUUUAUUGAUGCACCAUAGAAAGUAUCGUAUCUGGAUGCAUAAUGGCUUGGUAUGGCAACUGCUCUGCAUGUGACCGCAAGAAACCGCAGGGAGUUAUAGACACAGCUCCAGCAUAUCAGAGGAACCAGCCUCCCCUCUGUGCAUUCCGUCCAUACUUCUUGCUGCCUCAGUAAAGACGCAAGCAUAACAAAGACCCCACCUAUCCCAGGCAUUCCUUCUUCUCCUCCUCCCAUUGGGCAGAAGAUACAAAAGUCAGAAAGCACAUACUAAGAAAGGAUAAUUUCAGUGCUACUGUCAUCAGACUUUUGAGUGGACCCCUAUUGAAGAACAAAAUGGAUUCUUGGCCUGACAAUCCAGGAUCAAUCUAUGAUCUUGCAUUUUAUAGUUUACCUGCACUGCACUUUCCCUGUAGCUUUUACACUUCAU